GAAGGUCUUCCACUAGUAGCAGUAUAUCAUUGAUAGCUCCAGCAUUAGAGGUAGUAGUGUUCUUCAUAAGAAAGAGAGUCCUUAUGAUGCCAUCAAUAGCCUGAGCAUUGCUCUUUGUAACAUUAAGCAGCUCCAGAAGGAGUGUAUCAUUGUGAGUGUCAUUGGAACAUGAAGCAGAGCAAGUAGCAUAAUUAUGACAUUGGAUGAGUUGAGGGAGACAAAGAAUCACCACAAGAAGAGACAACAUUCCUUCUCAGUUACUGAGCAUGACCAGUGACGUUGAAAAUAAGCACAAGAAUUCAAGGCGUACACUAGACAUUAGUCAUAUCAGACACCUGUGAGGUUAUUGUAGUUGUGUACAAUUAUGCAAAGAACGUACUCGAGUACAAGCCACUCCUUGAUUAUCAAAACAUAUACUACUCAUGCACACACAAAUUAACUACAUUACAACAACACUUGACCAAAAUGACCACAAGAAGAGACAAUAUUCCUUCUCAGUUCACUGAUUUGUUGGAUCACUUGUAUAACAGAUCUUUUAUAAACUUUAGAAGAGCAUAAACAAUGACGUUAAGUGUAAUUCAACAAGAAUUCAAAGAGAGGACACUAUUAUCAGAUUCAAACCAUUACCACAUGUACUAAUGAUAAUGAUAAAUAAUUUCUUAUGAUACUAUUAACAUAUAGAGCAUAAGGCUCAAUCGUAUCAAACAAUAAACAAAAAUAAGGCUUGCUCUAGAUCAGCUGCAUAGCCAUACGGUAACUGUGAGGCUAACUUUAAGAGCAAGUUACAAAGAUAAGCAAAAAAUACGGCCUAGAUCUAAUUAAUAACACAACUUCAUUAACAAGUACACUAGCUAACACGCCUCUACUAAUAAACAUACAAGUACAAACUAAUAAGUAAUUUCUGUAAUACAUCCGAGUACCAAGUGGCUUUCUUCUUCAAAAUUAAUUUCAAAUUUGUAGUGCACAAUGACAUUCAAACCAUGCAGAGUAGUAGAUCUACAGAUGUUUAGCUUUGCUCAUGCCGUUAGGGGGAGUGCACUGAUUUGAAUUCAUUGGUACCCAUAAUUUACCAGGAUGCACCCACUCUGAAUAAUUAUUUGUCAAUAAUAAUAAUCAACAAGUGCACCCAGAGUAGCCUACACUUAUAUGCACCCACAACUUUCAGAUGCUGGAGAUGCUUUUGGCUUUGUUUAAAAUAUUUUCUUAAAAUUAUUGAAAGAGUAAUAUCUACAUAUUAACCAUGACUACAAAGCAAAAUAACAAAACCAAGGAAAAGAUAAAAUCUACAUAAGCUAAUAAGUGAUCUAAACAACAUAAUAAAAUAAGUAUCAUCAAGAAUGAAAAGCGAAGUUAUUUAUUUGAGCGAUCCUUCCACUUGUAGAGAUCAAUAGUGAGUGUCUGGGGUAUUCCCAUCAUCGAGGAAUUAGAGAAGACAUCAACAAACACUUUAACAGAAUA